CCUACGGGAGACAGCAGUAGGGAAUCUUUCACAAUGGGCGAAAGCCUGAUGGAGCAACGCCGCGUGCAGGAUGAAGGCCUUCGGGUUGUAAACUGCUUUUAUAAGCGAGAAAUAUGAUGGUAACUUAUGAAUAAGGAUCGGCUAACUACGUGCCAGCAGCCGCGGUCAUACGUAGGAUCCGAGCAUUAUCCGGAGUGACUGGGUGUAAAGAGUUGCGUAGGUGGCAUAAUAAGUAGCUAGUGAAAUCUGGUGGCUCAACCAUUCAGACUAUUAGCUAAACUGUUAAGCUCGAGACCGUUAGGGGUAACUGGAAUUUCUAGUGUAGGAGUGAAAUCCGUAGAUAUUAGAAGGAACACCAAUAGCGAAGGCAGGUUGCUGGGACGGUUCUGACACUAAGGCACGAAAGCGUAGGGAGCAAACGGGAUUAGAUACCCGGGUAGUC
rnacentral:rRNA from 1 species